rnacentral:rRNA from 1 species
CGCGAGCUGGGUUUAGAACGUCGUGAGACAGUUCGGUCCCUAUCUGCCGUGGGCGCUGGAGAAUUGAGGGGGGCUGCUCCUAGUACGAGAGGACCGGAGUGGACGCAUCACUGGUGUUCGGGUUGUCAUGCCAAUGGCACUGCCCGGUAGCUAAAUGCGGAAGAGAUAAGUGCUGAAAGCAUCUAAGCACGAAACUUGCCCCGAGAUGAGUUCUCCCUGAGACUUUAAGUCUCCUGAAGGAACGUUAAAGACGAUGACGUUGAUAGGCCGGGUGUGUAAGCGCAGCGAUGCGUUGAGCUAACCGGUACUAAUGAACCGUGAGGCUUAACCUUACAACGCCGAAG